CUUCCCCACUCACAUACCUCUAGAAACACUAAUACCAUCUCUCCCCCUCUCUCUCUCUCUCUCUUCAUUGUUCUAGAAACACUAAUACCAUCUCUCCCUCUCUCUCUCUCUCUCUCUUCAUUGUUGUCGAACCACCACCUCCUGUCGACCGUCAUUGUCGGACCACCAUCAUCUUCCAAACCACCGCCACUUGUUAGCCUAACCUAGUCACCAGAGACCACCCCUACCCAUAUCUCUCUAUCUUCACAAAACCAUCUCCAUCUCCAUCUUCAUGAUUUUCAGAAAAGAAAAUACCACCACCAGCAACAGCUUCUGACGACUUCCGAUGGUUCGGUUCCGGCAGAGAGGGUUCCGACCACCACCAUUUAUUGCCUGUCGAAUCAACAUCACAUCUCCUUUCGCAUCACCUGAGCCUUCUGGAGCACCACCAUCUCAUAGUUCGCCCCAUUUAUCUCGUUGGGGCACCUCCAUAUCUCCAUCUCUGUCAGUGGCGAUGUAACCCGAUGGUAAUACGACGAACAUGACAUGGUUCCUAUGGAUUCGUCUUCAUCCCUCCCAAGUGACUACCGCAAACCCUAGUAGCGGCGGCUUUGAAAACCCUAGUUCUGGCGGCGGCUUAUGGUUCCAGGCGAAGGGUGGCUGCAGCGACAAACAAAUCAGGCGAACGGAUCUAGAUCUACUGGCAUGAAGAACACGAUGUUUCAAAUUUUAGUGGCACAUCGGAGAAGGAGAGACGAUGGCAGUGCAGUAACCCCGAUAUAUAACUCAUUUGAUUUUAAAACCCAAAAAUGAAGAAAUAUUUGUUUGUUUCUUCCUCUUCUGAUCUGUUUGGUGGCUAAAGAGACGGUCGAUGGUGUUUCCGGUGAAAAUGAUAUGGUGGUCGGCGGUGACAAGAAUGGGCAGGUGGCAGGCGAUGUAGUAAUAGUGGGGAAGAAGAAAACGAGAGAGAGAGAGAUUUAUUUUUAUUUUUAUUUUCUUGUUUUUUUAAUUUGAAAAUUAUAAAUAAAUAAUAAAAAGAGAAAAUCAUAUAUUAA